rnacentral:rRNA from 1 species
CCCUUAGAUGUUCUGGGCCGCACGCGUGCUACACUGAGUAAUUCAAUGGGUAAGGGAACGCUAGAGCAUUACCUAAUCUUGAAAUUUGCUCGUGAUGGGGAUCGACGGUUGCAAUUUUCCGUCGUGAACGAGGAAUACCUUGUAGGCGCAUGUCAUCAUCAUACGCCGAAUACGUCCCUGCCCUUUGUACACACCGCCCGUCGCUCCUACCGAUUGAGUGAUCCGGUGAGGCUCUGGGACCUGGACGGAAAGAGCGUUUCGCUUGUUCUGUUUGGGAAACUUGGUCGAACCUUAUCAUUUAGAGGAAGGAGAAGUCGUAACA